rnacentral:SRP_RNA from 1 species
GCCAGGUGUGGUUGUGCGCACCUGUAAUCCCAGCUACCCAGGAGGCUGAGGCAGAAGAAUCCCUUGAGCCCAGGAGGUGGAGGCUGCAGUGAGCUGAGAUCCGGCCACUGCACCCCAGCCUGGGUGACAGAGAGAGACUCUGUCUCAA